UACAUGCUAAAUGAAAUAAGUCAACAGAGAGUACCAAUAUAAUAUUAUUUCACGUACAUGUGGAAUCUAACAACAAACAAAUACAGACAAGCAAAGAAAAACAAGCUCACAAAGAGAACAGAUAGGUGGUUACCAGAGGCAGGAGAAAGUUCUUCGGGGAGAAGGAGUAUGCUGUUAGAUGGAAAUGAGCACUGGAAAUAGUGAACAGCAUUUAUAAGGUGAAAUUCUGCACAUCCUUCAAAGACUGAUGCAACAUUGCUUCCAGUGUGAAGGUGUCCACACACAGAGCUGGAACUUACAUCUCCUUCUCCUGUGUUCCCAGUGGGCAACUGAAAUGUUUCCUUCCAUUGUAGAGCCUGUGCGCAGGGAGACUAUAAGCAGUGUGGGGAAGAAGAAAAGGCAGAGGAAUUCCUGAAGUGAACUAACGAGGCCUGUCACCUAAUCCCCUUCACAUCACGUGAAAGGUCUGGGGCCAGUUAUCUGAUCUCUCUGGACCUUAGGCCUUCAACUAUGAAAUUGAAAUUAUUGACAAAAUCUUCACAAAAUUGCUAUGAAAACAGAUAGAUGUGUGAAGUAAUAUUGGGCAUUCAAGAAAAAUGAGAUCCAAAAAUAAGAUUCUACUUCACAGUCGGUAUGAUGGCUAUGAACAAGAACACAGACAAGUGUCAGCAAGGAUAUAGAGAAACUGGAGCCCUCACACACUACCCAGGGGAAUGUAAAAUGGUGCGGCUCCUGUGGUAAAGAUCCUGGCAAUUACUCAGCAAGUUAAACGUAGAAUUGCUACAUGACCCAGCAACUCCACCCUAAGUAUAUGCCCAAGCGAACUGGAAACAUGUUCACACAAAAACUCUUACACAAAUGUUCAUGGCAGUAUUAUUCAAAAUAGCCAAAAUGUGGGGAAAAAAACCCCAAAUGCCCAUGAACUGAUAAACAGAUACACAAAUUGUGAUUUAUCUAUGUAAUGAAAUAAUAUUUGGAAUUAAAAAGAAUUGAUGUGCUGAUCCACGGU